AUGAACGCUGGCGGCGUGCCUCAUACAUGCAAGUCGAGCGCACAGACGAGGAGCUUGCUCCUCUGACGUUAGCGGCGGACGGGUGAGUAACACGUGGAUAACCUACCUAUAAGACUGGGAUAACUUCGGGAAACCGGAGCUAAUACCGGAUAAUAUAUUGAACCGCAUGGUUCAAUAGUGAAAGACGGUUUUGCUGUCACUUAUAGAUGGAUCCGCGCCGCAUUAGCUAGUUGGUAAGGUAACGGCUUACCAAGGCAACGAUGCGUAGCCGACCUGAGAGGGUGAUCGGCCACACUGGAACUGAGACACGGUCCAGACUCCUACGGGAGGCAGCAGUAGGGAAUCUUCCGCAAUGGGCGAAAGCUUGACGGAGCAACGCCGCGUGAGUGAUGAAGGUCUUCGGAUCGUAAAACUCUGUUAUUAGGGAAGAACAAAUGUGUAAGUAACUAUGCACGUCUUGACGGUACCUAAUCAGAAAGCCACGGUUAACUACGUG
rnacentral:rRNA from 1 species